UACGUAGGGGGCUAGCGUUGUCCGGAAUCAUUGGGCGUAAAGAGCGCGUAGGCGGCUGGAAUAGUCCGGUGUGAAAUCCACAGGCUUAACCUGUGAAUGCCGCUGGAAACUGUCUGGCUAGAGUCCGGAAGGGGCGAGUGGAAUUCCUGGUGUAGCGGUGAAAUGCGUAGAUAUCAAGAGGAACACCAGUGGCGAAGGCGAGUCCCUGGACAAUACCUGACACUGAGGCACGAAAGCCAAGGGAGCAAACAGG
rnacentral:rRNA from 1 species